rnacentral:rRNA from 1 species
GACGAACGCUGGCGGCGUGCUUAACACAUGCAAGUCGAACGGAAAGGCCCUGCUUUUGUGGGGUGCUCGAGUGGCGAACGGGUGAGUAACACGUGAGUAACCUGCCCUUGACUUUGGGAUAACUUCAGGAAACUGGGGCUAAUACCGGAUCGGAGCUCCUGCUGCAUGGUGGGGGUUGGAAAGUUUCGGCGGUUGGGGAUGGACUCGCGGCUUAUCAGCUUGUUGGUGGGGUAGUGGCUUACCAAGGCUUUGACGGGUAGCCGGCCUGAGAGGGUGACCGGCCACAUGGGGACUGAGAUACGGCCCAGACUCCUACGGGAGGCAACAGGGGGGAAUAUUGCACAAUGGGCGGAAGCCUGAUGCAGCAACGCCGCGUGCGGGAUGACGGCCUUCGGGUUGUAAACCGCUGUCGCCUGUGACGAAGCGUGAGUGACGGUAAUGGGUAAAGAAGCACCGGCUAACUACGUG